rnacentral:rRNA from 1 species
UACGUAGGGUGCGAGCGUUAAUCGGAAUUACUGGGCGUAAAGCGUGCGCAGGCGGUUGUGCAAGACAGAUGUGAAAGCCCCGGGCUUAACCCCGGGAAUGGCAUUGGAAACUGCUGAUCUGGAGGAUCGGAGGGGGGGACUGGAAUUCUUGGUGUAGCAGUGAAAUGCGUAGAUAUGCGGAGGAACACCGAUGGCGAAGGCAAUCCCCUGGGCCUGCACUGACGCUCAUGCACGAAAGCGUGGGGAGCAAACAGG